rnacentral:tRNA from 1 species
GAGGCUUUAGUAUAAUAAAGUAUUUUUUAUUUUCAAUAAAAUGGUGUUAAGCCUUA